rnacentral:rRNA from 1 species
UACGUAGGGUGCGAGCGUUAAUCGGAAUUACUGGGCGUAAAGGGCGUGUAGGCGGGAAUGUAAGUCAGACGUGAAAUUCCGAGGCUCAACCUCGGAGCUGCCUCUGAAACUACAUUCCUAGAGGAAGGGCGGAGAAAACGGAAUUCCACAUGUAGCGGUGAAAUGCGUAGAUAUGUGGAGGAACACCUGUGGCGAAAGCGGUUUUCUAGCUUAUUCCUGACGCUGAGGCGCGAAGGCAAGGGGAGCAAACAGG